UUGAAUGAACUUGGUGUGGUUGUUGCUGGCCCUUUCGGGGGCAUGUGCACGCCCACCAUCCUCAUCUCUCCACCUGUGCACUUCUUGUAGACUUGGAUUCACUUUCCGAGGCAACUCGGUCGGGAGGACUUGCUGGCACUACCUGGCUUUCCUUGCAUUUCCAAGUCUACGUUUUUCAUAUACCCAAUUGAAUGUAACAGAAUGUAACAUUGGGCCCUUGUGCCUAUAAAAACUUAUA
rnacentral:misc_RNA from 1 species